AGAAAGCUUGUAGAUCAUAUUACUAAAUUAUAUAGAAAUAAAUGAGAAUUCUUUUAGGGCAUAUUUCGUUCAUAAUUGAAAUAGAAAUGCAAAAUAAAAUUGAAUUGGUUUGAAAUGAAAAGUGGAAUGACGAGUCAUCCAAAAAUAUUUGGUUCAUUAUUGAAAUAGAAAUCGGAAUGAAAAUUUAAAAUUGUUGAGAGACGGUUUUGAAUAAGAGAGAAAAAAGUGAUGAAAGGCGAUGAGGUAGGUGUCGGUUAAAAAGGGUUUUGAAUAGUUUACUUUUUUUCGUUAAAUCUAUGACAAAGUCAAAACCAUAGGGUAACUUACGUGAAUAUUCGAUAAACUAUGAAUAGGAUGUCUAAAGUUUUUUAUAUAUAAUUUAAUAAAGAGUUAAUGGAGAUGCUUACUAAAAUAGAAAAAUGAAAUUAUAGGAUACUAAAGUAAUACACUUUAAACCACAUAAUACUAAAGUGAGAAAUAAAAUUAUAUAAUUUUGGAGGAAUAUACCAAUGCUUUGGAGGGAAACAAAUAUAAUUAAUGGUUAAUUGCAUACAGCCUUCUAUAAACAUAUCAAAUAGUAGAUGUUUUCCUAUAAAAUUCAACUUUUUAUUUUUGUUCCUCCAAAGUUCAAAAGUCCUAACGUUUUCAAAUAUAUCCCUGUUGUUAGAAUCCGUUAGAAGAAUGUAAUUAACCAGAAGUAUAAUACUUAACCCUUAUUAGUAAAUGAGUUAUUGACUUUUUUACCCCUCUUAUAUUAUUAAGUAAAAUAUUUUUUUGGAGGAUAUUUUUACAUAAUUCUAGCAGUUAGGGCUUUUGGAGGGAUAUAUUUAUAAGGAUAAAAAUGUCAUUUUACUUAUCUACUGUUAAAAAAAGUUGAUUAUCACUGAAAUUUUGUAGGAAUAAAAAUAAAAAGUUAAAUUUUGUAGAAAUAUAUUUGCUAUUUGAUAUGUUCGUAGGGAGCUGUAUGCAAUUAACCUUAUAAUGAAUUAUAAAAAUUAGGGUUAAAUGCAUACAUGUCCCUGCAAACAUAGUGAAUUGCAAAUAUAUUUCUAUAAAGUUCAGCUUUCAUAUGUUGUCUCUGCAAAAAUUCUAAUAUUUUCAAAUAUAUCCCUCUAAUUUAUUACCGUUAUAUAACUAUUUAUAUUUUAUGUAAAAUGUUAUUUUCGUCGUCACAAAUAUGUUCCUCCAAAAGCCACAACAGUAUAAUAUAAGAAGAGCAAAAAUAUCAAGUUAUCUCAUAAACUAACCUGGAUUAAGCAUUUAACUAUGGUUAACUAAAAUUUUCUAACAGAUUCUAACGGCAGGAACAUAUUUAAAAAUAUUAGGACUUUUGCAGAAGUAACAUAUGAAAAUUGAACUUUAUAGGAAUAUAUAUUUGUAAUUUACUAUAUUUGCAAGGACCUGUAUGAAACUAACCCUAAAAAUUAAGCAGAGCUA
rnacentral:lncRNA from 1 species